CUAUUUACAGGUACACUGGUGGACAGACCUCCCCCCACCAGAGUGACUGGCUGCAAUGACUGGCAUGACCAUUGUGAGCAUGCUGUGUCCUCUGAAGUAAAAGCAUAUCAACAAUAUUCACCUGAAGAAGUUAAAUAUGCAUUCCUAACCAGUAACGGAGUUUCUGGGAUCAGAUGAGGAAAAAAAUGGUGGGGGAUUGGAAGAUGAUUAUUCCAGAGGGAAGGAUGAUUUAUAGUCAGCCUAACAGUGUCUACACUUAGGAUAAGCUGUUCUGCUUUAAGCCAAGAUGGUUACAGUCACAAGUGUCUGCUCUGCUCCACUGAGUUAUAGUUUCUAGAACAUCCAGGGACUCAAGUCUCUUGUGUUUCAGCUCUUGCAAAGCUGGUUCUACUACUAUUCUGGAAGCUAAUAGUCCAGUCACUGAUAAAAUGAAUAGCAAGAGAAAACCUGAUUUUACAGCUGAAAUAAUCAGAAAACCCUAUAGCAUAGUGUUUAUGUACAUCUGUUAGAAGGUGGUAUAUAAUGGCUGCAUUUCCUGUAUAACAUAAUAUGGCUGAAUAUCUAACAGGACAUGGAAGUUUUGCAUUUUGAUGAAGUAUCAUGGGAGCAGGUAUUCUUCAGAAGGAGCUUGAGAAUAGCCAGGAGGGCACUAUAAGGGUACUUAGAUCCAAGAUGACAGGAGAUGAUACAAAGAGAAAAGAUAUCAAAGAUGUCUGGUGACAAACUUUUCCUCUAUGGGCCAGAGGCAAUGUCCCUAACUUUCCCUUCUGCCUAGCUAGGAGAGAGGAAAUAAACCAAGCUGCAUUAAAUUGGUUCUUUGACUCAUAAGUGGCAUAAAAAUAAGCUAUUGGGGAAGGGAUGGUUUAUGAAUAUUAUAUUAUACAUAUAUGUAAUAUAUAUAUACAUAUAUAUAGUGCAUCUCUGUGUAUAUAUGUUCCAAGCACUUGAAUAAUUUAGCUCAAAGGAAAAUAUUUCUUUGUAAACAUAAGAAAACAAACUAACCUU